GACGAACGCUGGCGGCGUGCCUAAUACAUGCAAGUCGAGCGGAACUGGGGGAGCUUGCUCCUUCCAGUUUAGCGGCGGACGGGUGAGUAACACGUGGGCAACCUGCCCUGCAGAUCGGGAUAACUCCGGGAAACCGGUGCUAAUACCGAAUAGUUUGGCGCCUCUCCUGAGGCGCUACGGAAAGACGGUUUCGGCUGUCACUGCUGGAUGGGCCCGCGGCGCAUUAGCCAGUUGGUGGGGUAACGGCCCACCAAGGCGACGAGGCGUAGCCGACCUGAGAGGGUGACCGGCCACACUGGGACUGAGACACGGCCCAGACUCCUACGGGAGGCAGCAGUAGGGAAUCUUCCGCAAUGGACGCAAGUCUGACGGAGCAACGCCGCGUGAGUGACGAAGGUUUUCGGAUCGUAAAACUCUGUUGUGAGGGAAGAACACGUACCAACUAACUAUUGGUACCUUGACGGUACCUCACCAGAAAGCCACGGCUAACUACGUGCCAGCCGCCGCCGUAA
rnacentral:rRNA from 1 species